rnacentral:lncRNA from 1 species
CAGGCUGAAUUGGUUUGAUCCAGAGAGGCAGUUAUGCAUAAGAGCAACCACUCUCUAUUGAAUUAGGAGAUCUCUCAUGCAACACAUCUCACCAAUUACAAGUCCCCAUUAGCCACCACGAUGGCUGGAGAAGAGUGGAUCAUCACAAAUGGUGACAACUGUGGUGCUAUCCCACUGUCAAUGCAGGAGAGAGCAAUACACACAAGACAGUUCAGUUCACAAGUCCAUCAGAAGCAGACUGCAGUUGCAUGAAGGCGCUGGCAAGUGAAAUCGAGGACCAUUAAUUAACCCAGGAGCAGAGUGAGGGGUAAGCUGGGAAAAUCAGCAAGGACCAGAAAGAGAGUGCAGGGAUCUUCCAGAUCCCGAGAGAAGCAGAGCCCAGUGUGUACAAGUGGGAACAAGUCACCAGGAACAACAUAAAAGGAUCUCUCUAAGAAGUGAAGUCUUAAUUUUUCCAUAAGAUAAAUUAAUCAAACACAGUGACCCC